rnacentral:rRNA from 1 species
UACAGAGGGUGCGAGCGUUAAUCGGAAUUACUGGGCGUAAAGCGCGCGUAGGCGGUUACUCAAGUCAGAGGUGAAAAGCCCGGGGCUCAACCCCGGAACCUGACCUUUGAAACUAGGUAACUAGAAUCUUGGAGAGGUCAGUGGAAUUCCGAGUGGUAGAGGUAAAAUUCGAUAGAUAUUGGAAGAACACCAGGUGGCGAAGGACGACU